CACAGCAGCAUGUCUUCCUGGAAAGUCCUGGAAACCAGGGUGUGCGAGGAUGCCCAGCAGGCGCCCAGGUGGCGGCAAAAAGUCUAGCGCCGGCCUUGAAAGUGACACUUACGACUUACGUUACGGCAAAUUCAGAGGAAAAAUAAUACAAAACCAGGGGAGCACGGGCCCCAGGC